AUGCUACUCCACACGAAAACUCCUUUUCAAUAUUCAGCUGGGUAAUAGUCUUGUUUUGUUUAAAAUAUAAUAAAAUCACAUUAGGAAAGGAUAAGAGAGAUCCUAUAUUUUCGAAGUCGAACUGCGCUUUCUUGAGCGCCUUUUGUCAUUUUUAUUAUAGACUUCGAUUUUUUUCUUUCUAUUAUUAUUUUUUUUUUUAUAAUUUGCUUGCAAAUUUUCAUGGGAGAUCAGAUUGCAUCCUUCUAAGACACACCAAGACAACCAAAAAAGUGUAGUGAGUGAUGAAGACCAUGAUGAAAACCACAAUUCACUUCCUCUGAAAGAAGGACAGAGAGAGAGAGAGAGAGAGAGAGAAUAAAAGAGAACAGCACACAUCAUGUCAUGUCUGACUGCAUCGAUAUAUCCCAUAUCAGUAAGCAAGCAAACAGGGGAGAGAUAGUGAACAAGAUAAUAAAAACAGGCCAACAGAACAAGUGAAAGGACUGAUUCCAUAACAAGGGGGAAGAAACUAAACUGGCAAAUGGGAAUAUAAAAGAAAGUACAUGAACAAGAUGUAUGGAAAGAGAAGUUGUGUUGGCAUCAACAGAUCAUUGAAAAGGAAAAAGCAAAAACAAAGAAAACACGAAAUAACAGAAGAAUAAAACAUGGCUAAUUCAUCCCAUAAUAGUUAAUCGAAGA
rnacentral:sRNA from 1 species